UUGUUGGUGAGGUAAAGGCUUACCAAGGCUUCGAUCAGUAGCUGGUCUGAGAGGACGGCCAGCCACACUGGGACUGAGACACGGCCCAGACUCCUACGGGAGGCAGCAGUGGGGAAUUUUGGACAAUGGGGGCAACCCUGAUCCAGCCAUGCCGCGUGAGUGAAGAAGGCYUUCGGGUUGUAAAGCUCUUUCAGCCGGAACGAAACGGUUACGGUUAAUACCCGUGACUACUGACGGUACCGGAAGAAGAAGCACCGGCUAACUACGUGCCAGCAGCCGCGGUAAUACGUAGGGUGCAAGCGUUAAUCGGAAUUACUGGGCAUAAAGCGUGCGCAGGUGGUUUUGUAAGUCAGAUGUGAAAUCCCCGGGCUUAACCUGGGAACUGCGUUUGAAACUACAAGGCUAGAGUGUGGCAGAGGGGGGUGGAAUUCCGCGUGUAGCAGUGAAAUGCGUAGAUAUGUGGAGGAACACCGAUGGCGAAGGCAGCCCCCUGGGUCAACACUGACGCUCAGGCACGAAAGCAUGGGGAGCAAACAGGAUUAGAUACCCUGGUAGUCCAUGCCCUAAACGAUGUCAACUAGUUGUCGGGCCUUAACGGGCUUGGUAACGUAGCUAACGCGUGAAGUUGACCGCCUGGGGAGUACGAUCGCAAGAUUAAAACUCAAAGGAAUUGACGGGGACCCGCACAAGCGGUGGAUUAUGUGGAUUAAUUCGAUGCAACGCGAAAAACCUUACCUACCCUUGACAUGUAUCGAAGCCCGCAGAGAAGCGGGUGUGCCCGAAAGGGAACGAUAACACAGGUGCUGCAUGGCUGUCGUCAGCUCGUGUCGUGAGCUGUUGGGKUAAGUCCCGCAACGAGCGCAACCCUUGUCAUUAAUUGCCAUCAUUUAGUUGGGCACUUUAAUGAGACUGCCGG
rnacentral:rRNA from 1 species